CGAUUCUGGCUCAGAUGAACGCUGGCGGCAGGCGUUAACACAUGCAAGUCGAACGAGGUUAGGGAGCUUGCUCCUGAUACCUAGUGGCGAACGGGUGAGUAAUGCUUAGGAAUCUGCCUAGUAGUGGGGGGUAACUAUCCGAAAGGAUAGCUAAUACCGCAUACGACCUACGGGUGAAAGGGGGCGCAAGCUCUCGCUAUUAGAUGAGCCUAAGUCGGAUUAGCUAGUUGGUGGGUAAAGGCCUACCAAGGCGACGAUCUGUAGCUGGUCUGAGAGGAUGAUCAGCCACACUGGGACUGAGACACGGCCCAGACUCCUACGGGAGGCAGCAGUGGGGAAUAUUGGACAAUGGGCGAAAGCCUGAUCCAGCCAUGCCGCGUGUGUGAAGAAGGCCUUUUGGUUGUAAAGCACUUUAAGUAGGGAGGAAAAAGUUAAUGGUUAAUACCCAUUAGCCCUGACGUUACCUACAGAAUAAGCACCGGCUAACUCUGUGCCAGCAGCUGC
rnacentral:rRNA from 1 species